rnacentral:lncRNA from 1 species
AUUAAGAGGAACAAGUGACAACACCAAGAGAGAGAGAGAGAGUGUGUGUGACAUUGAAAAAUGUGCAUACCAAUGUGCACUUCGGUUUAGAUGACUUUCUGAAAUAGUUCAUUCAUUUAGGAUCUGGUUAAGAAAUUAAAAAUUAAUUAUAUAUUCAUUCCGUGAAGCUAAAAAGAGAUAAAACGAAUUUGAUAACAAGAAAAAAAAAAUGAUGUAAUAUAACAUAAAAUUGUCUUAUUUGAAACAAGGAAAUGCGGAAACAUUCACUUCGAAUGAAUUAAUAAAACGAAACUUGCCAUACAUUGAUAUAGAUUAAACUAUUAACAUGUGACACUAGUUGCUGCAUUAGAUGGGAUUCUAGCAGUUUAGUCUUCUAUCUCCGUUAAAUGGAAAUAAAACUAGAAAUCCAAGACUAUCAAACUUAACGUUAGUGCAGAAUUGGAUUAAUGUAUUUGCUAACUUGGUCUUCAUCAAUGAAUUAUUGCCGCUAUUUAUCUUUGUAUUCGUGAACAAUGAGGUCUUGGGAUUACACUAUAUGGAGAUAUGGAAUAAAUCUUAUUGGUGGUGCUACUGUGGUUACAUAUGUGGUUAUGCUUUUCUUAUCAAUGAGGUAAGAUGCAUUUUAUUUUUAAUUGAAAGUUUUGUGAAAAUGAGUUUUGUUGUUUCUAUGUUAGAAUGAAUUAUUUCUUUUCUGUAAAAGGGAGUAGGCCUUAGUAACCCGAAAUAUUUGCUCUGGUUUAAUUUUCUGAUAUUUGCACCUUUGAAAGGAAGGGGUCCAUGCAUCAUCUGCCAUAGUCUAGUUGAAAUUCACCGUUUACGUGUUUAUAGUACUAGUAUAUUAAAUAUGACAAAUUUUUAGUACCCUUAAAAACACUACAAGUCCUUUUUUAUUGUUUGCACAUGUACUCACUGUGAAUACCCAUGACUGUUAAAAUGUGUAUAUAUAAUGAAAACAUUAUCUUACAGUAAUUCCGAAAUGUCCUUGAACUAUUUGUAGCUUGAGAGUAAAUAAACGGCUAUGUUUUUUUCACAAAGUUACUAUCAUGUUUAAAGUAUAAACAAUUAUUCAUACUACGUAUUUAAAGAAUUUCGGCAAUAACGGAGAGACACCAUUUGCCUCAUCCAAACGACUCUUUUUGGCGGGAGACUUUGUCGUCAUGUUUAAACAAAAUGAUUGGUAGCAUCAUUCAAGUUAAGGAGUAUCGCUAUAAAGUAUUAUAAAGUUUCAGUUCUACGACCACUUAACUGACAUAUUUCUAUAAGAAGUAAAUGUUUGAAAACUUGUAAAAAUAAAGGGUUUGGUAUGAGCAAUUGUUUGUAAAAUUACUCAAUCCUUUAAUAAUAUCUUAGAUGUACUAAAAAAAAAGAAUAGGACGAUAUAAUAUAUACAAUAUAAGUACGUCUGAACCGAUGACAGCUCUGAGACAGAUUUUAUCCAUCGGAUCACCAGUGAUGAUGUUACAAGGCUGAAACACACAUAUAUAUAGUAUGUACUGGAGUUCAGAAGUGUCAGUCGUGUUGUCACUGUGAAAUCAUAAACCUGUUGAAAUUGACAUUGUUAGCUUAAGAUGACCAUUGUACACAUUAAAUAUGAACCAAGGCCUUACCCCAAAGGUUAGUUUACCCGCACCAAGUUUUUAGUACCUUGUGUGAUGAUAGAAGUGUUUAACGACCUUGACUGGCUUUACAGCCCUCGUACGGUCGGACAUGUUGUACCUCAAGUCAUAUAAAUGACAAUAUCUUUAAGUGAGGCUACGGACUUUGUUGAUUUAUUUUUAUUUCUAAUUUAUAGGUCAUAAAGUGACAUUUGCAUACUUUUAUCAUACUUUCUUUUUGUUGUUCAUUAUAAACAGUACGUUCAAAAUAACAGUUACCAAAGUGAAAAUCUAAACUAAUAAGUUGAAGAGAGAUCGACAAAAUCAUCUCUUUAACAAAAAACUAUCCUAUAUUACAUCAUAAGCAAAUGAAAAAUCCUAUUAGCUGUGAAUAAAGGUUUUUAAGACGAUUGCAUAGAUUGUCAUUUAGUUUUAAUUAAACAUAUUUAAUUGGUUAUAGUGGAUUGGGAAACACGUUAUUACAACUUAUGUUAAUCCCUUUUCACUUUGCGGGUGCGAGUGCUGCCUUGUAGCGGCAUUAGUCUUCUCUUCUUUUUUUUUUAAAUCUACAAGGGCGUCUUUUACGUGCAAGAGAUAUGGCUCUCUCUUAACACGGGUCUCCCAUUUACCGUCCCCUUCCGACGGACUAUCAUCGUUUCUCAAGACCUUGCUACUCGCAAAUGAUGUCAAGGGAGAAUUGAAAAUUCAGUCCCUGAAAUUUUCUCCCCGAAACAGGUAUCGAACCAGAAACCUUUGAGUCAGUAGUCCGAUGCGCUAACCACUACACUAGAUUGUCAUUUAGAUUAAUGACACUUUCUGUUUACCGUAGUGCUCGGUUCUCAACCGUAUCUGGUUACUCUAUGUAUACGGGUAAGGGGUUGUUAUAUUCAAGUUAUGGACGUUCACAUAAGAAUGUUGAAAUAAGACAAAUAAAUGAAAUACCAUUGGCACUGUAUAGAAAACAAUCCUCCUAUACACCAACUAAACUAUUUCGGAAUCAUUUACUGUUUGUUUUCUACUAGAAAUUCCAUUACGAGUUAAAUUAUCGGUUCAUUAUAGUACUGGUAUAUAGUUUUGCGUGCUUGCAUUGAAUCAAAACAGUACAAUUUCAAGACAUAGAAGUAUUAAAUUCUCAAGGGUAUCUUGACCUUUAUGAUAACUAACCGAACAGACAACAAAUGAUUUAAACUGUAUUUGCAAUUGUAAAUCAAAUGUCUUUUGUCUUGUGAUUUACAAUAGGUUAUUACACCGAUGCCAUUGUUAGACAUACAUAGAAUCAAUGUAUGGAGCAUUAAAGGGAUGAUAUGGUACAUCUCAUCAAAUUUGAGAAGCAGCCGACAUUAUCACUGUACAUACACUUUCCGCGCGCCUCAAGCCUCUCAGAAACACAUCUAACAAAAAAAAUAUUUCUUAUAAUAGCAUAUUGACAUAAAAAAAAAGUAUGUACUCGUCAUUAACGAGGGUUGCGUGACAACCUAUUAUAGGUCUCCCCUACAUCAUAUAUGACAACAAACUAGGUCUCCAUGCAUCACGUGACAACCUACUAUAGCUAGGUCACCCCUACAUCAUAUAUUACAACAAACUAGGUCUCCAUGCAUCACGUGACAACCUACUAUAGGUCUCCCCUACAUCAUAUAUGACAAAAAACUAGGUCUCCAUGCAUCACGUGACAACCUACUUAAAAUAAAAAAAGAAAGCAUGCUAAAUGAAUACUUUUCAACAAGGUUUAAGUGUUUGCAUACAAAAAUUCAGUUUGAUUUCAUACAUCGUAUUUAAUUCGCGGAAAAAUAACUUCCAUUUCCACUAGAUCUAUUUAAUAUGCAGGUCUUGUACAUGUCCUUUAGCUUGGUUAAUUUAAACGCCAUGUUACUUUAAAAAAAAUAAUUAAUUGAAUGAACUAUUCUUUGCAUAGUGGCAUUCUGCUCUAUAAACAUUACAACAGCUUUUUUGAAAAUAUUCACUUUUGGAACAUGUAACCCAGUUAUAAUUUAGAUAUUAUGAAUGAUUCCACCAUUUUUGUAUCUCGUAUAGAUUUUUUUUUCUUCUUCAAGACUAAUGAUGACCAGAGUUUUUGUUUUUUAACUUGAUUCCACUCCGUUUUGAGUUUUAUAUUUCAAUCAAAUUUCGCUAUCUUGUUUGUCUGUUUCUAUCUUAUCUUUUUUAUAGUUCGUUGGUUAUAAUGAGCAUUACAUUGAUCUAUAACAGUUUACUUUUACAAACUGUGACCUUGGAUGGAGAGUAGUCUCAUUUGCACUCAUACCACAUCUUCUUAUAUCUAGUUAAUUCUACUUUCAUCUGUAUCUUCGUACUCUUGGGAAUUAUUAUCUGGAACCUAUUAUACCAGCAGUUUCUAAAGAGAGUAUAGUCUGUUAGGAAAUUGCCUGUCUGUAUUACUACAAAAGUAUACACAGGAUGCACAAUUAACGCGUUUUAAAAUAUUAUAACUGCGAUCUUAUUAUAUUUUUGUACAAAUUUGGUUAUGUCUCGCCUGCAACGAAAGUAGCAGAAUACGAGACAUAGGGAUUCCUAUUAGGCGGCGAUGGAUAUGACACGAAAACUAUUUGUAUAUAGCUUUGCAUUUCAAAGGAUAGAAGACCAAGAUGCUUUAUAAUUUGAAUGCUGAUGCCUUCUAUAUCCAUCUGUCAUAUGUCUUUGACCUUAUUUCAUAAUCCAAAAAUGUUCAGUUUUUAGCUCACCUUGCUCAAUAAUCAUUGAGGUAUCUAUAUAUAUAUAGUUUACAAAUGUGUCUUUUACAAAAAUCUUCUCUGCAACUACUCAGACAUAUUUAACCAAACUUGGCCACAAUCAUCAUCAGGGUAUCUAGUUUUAAAAAAAAAAUCUGAUUACCCCACCUUCCAACCAACAUGGCCGACAUGGCUAAAAAUAGAUCAUAGGGGUAAAAUGCACUUCUUGUCUUAUAUCUUUGAAACUGAAGCAAAAGUAUAACUGUUGUAUUAUUUCAUGCAUCAAUUGUAAACAAAAAUAUCUGCAUGGUGAGCAACACAGACUCCUUAAGAACCUCUGGUUUUGUGACCACGUGAAAUUCUCACUUAUAACGCGUUAUUUGAUAACAUAAUUUGUCAUAUGGGUUUCCUUGCAAUGUCUACAUGUCUGUCAGACAACGUGAACCUGAUCUCGACCUCGUUGAUCAAGGUUAUAGUUAAGUGAUAAGGUUCGUUUCUAUGAUGCUUAUAUCGGUAGGUAAACUACAGGUAUGCGUGGUGUAUGGGAUGAUUAUUAGGUGUACACAUCAAUUUGUAAGGUUUCAUAUGUCCUUUGGCGUCAUUUUCGUGGUUCAUUGAUCGAUGACCAUCAUGUUAAGUUUUUGUGUUUUGGUCUACUUAUCAAAUACCAUAAGCAAUAUGUCAACUGUAUAAGGUGUAUGGAAUGAUUAUAAGGUGUACAUGAUCAUCACUACAUGUCUUUUUGGCAAGACUUAUCUUUAAUUUUUCAUGAAUCAUUGAUAAUGCUUAGUUUAUAUGAUACUUGAAGCAAAACCUUUAUCCAUAAGAAUUUUUACACCUGAAUUUCAGCCCUUCAACUUAGAACAGUUGGUUCAAGUGAUGCUGUAUUUUUUUUUCAAGUCAAAGUGUUCGUAUAUAUUGAUAUAAGAAGGGUAUAUGUAUACACACACACACACACACACAAAAGAGCAAACUGCAACUUCUGGAAAGCAAAUACUAACAUUCCACUUAUCUUGUUAUAUUAUUUAUAACAUAGCAUUGAUUUCUUGUCCAAUUUUAUUUUCUCGCCUUUUAUGAUGAUUGUGGCACAACGAUUGCAGUAAAUUAUUGCUCUUUUGAACUUUUUUGGCUUUAAGUAAUAACCACGUCGUGAUUUCUUGAUAGAUAGUUCGAGUCAAUCAACCGCUGGUGUUUAUUUGACAUUGAUGUUUUAGUCAGUUAUGAUUAUAGUAUGAGUAUAUGACAUAUCACUUGAAAAAAAAGGAAACCAUUGCUGACUCUGCAUGCCGUAAACCUCUGUUUAUUUAACAUAUUUUCAAAGAUAAAAGAGUACAAGAGGAAAGGAUGUGGAUUUUCUAUUAAAUUUCCGUACGUUUAACAUUGAAACAAUAAAAAGGGCAAUUAACCCUGACGCUUUUUCUGAGUUAUCACAGUGAUCUGUAACGUACAUGAACAAGCAUAUGUAAAAGGUUUUAUCAUAGUUUCUAUUUUCCUAGUUAACCAAAUGUCCACUAGCAUUACUAUAUUUGUACAUUUAUUAUCAACAACAUUGAUCAGGUAAACAUGUAGGACGUGUUUGAAGGUUAUGAAAGUUAGUAAAAGCAAGAGACUUAUUAUUUGUCCACUUCAUGCGUACACUGCUACAUAGAUUUUGAUUUUAUUUAUGCUGGUUGUCAAUUCUCUGAUUAUCCAUCUUCUAAGGUGUUCUGCUUUCGAACUUUAUAAAUAUCAUUCUCAUAUUCUUUAAGUGUUCUAAUUAUAUAAAAUAGUACACCAAUAUACUUGGAUAUAAGAUGAUGAGGUAUGAGUGUCAAGGAGAUAACUCUCCAUCAAAAUCACAAUUUUUAAAAAGGAAACUAUUAUAGGUCAAUGUACGGCCUUAAACAUGGAUCCUUUGCCCACACCGAACAGCAAGCAAUAAAUUAGACUGUUUAGCGGCGACAGCUUCUUGAUCAUACAUCAUUCAUGUUAAUCUUUUGGAGUGUGUCACGAUCUUGUUUUAGUUACUGCUGUAUCUAGAUCCCAAUGGGCACAAUCAAUAUAUAUAUAAUUUACACUCUGUUCAGUUUUACACACUGUUCUAUUAUAAAAAGCAUUUGUGAUCAACCUGGACAUUCAUAAUAUAUUUGCCACUGGACGUUUAACAAACAGACAACAAUAAAUCAAUUCGAAAGUCUUGUUACCGAAGUAAUCAAACAAACCGAAAAUCAUAAUUUUUUUUUAUCUUUUGAACGACUGAAAUAAUAAGAAAUGUAAAGCUACAUGUAUCAUAUAAAUACGUUAGACAUAUAUGUAGACAGGCCAGGGGAUACAAACCAAAAAGCAAUACAUCAUGGUACAUGGUUACCCGGAAGUAGUAAAUCUUUAUUUUAGUCAACACGUAUUCAUUCAACUAAUGAAAGAGUGACACGACAAAAGUAACUGUUGAUGUCAUGACUUUCUACUGCAAGAUUCAAAAUCGUAAAUGUAACAGUCCCUCAAAAUAAAAAUAAAAAGUUGCAUUAAAAUUCAUGAACACUGAAACACAAAAUAAAAAAAAAUAGAUUGUUUGACGUCAUAUUUUUCUACCACAAAAUAUUUAAUAAGUAGUUUAUCAAAAUAGAAAUAUUAUCAUUGCAAUACACAAACGGGAACAGUGAAAUGUCACCAGAUGUGUUGUAAGUUUAACAUAUUUAUCUACAUGCAUGCUAUCACUUAAUUUUUGGGUUGAUCGGAGCAAUUACAUUUUUGCCAUCGAAAAGUAAAUAUAUACUGAUAUUUUUUAAUGGAAAUAGCCAUUAAUUUACUUUAUUUUUUAAAUGUUAUAAAUACCCUUAUUUCAAGCAAUAUACGUUUAACAUACUGACUAUACAAUAAAGAAGUGUCAUUGCUAUAUUUACUUUAUGUUUUAUGAGAUGACAAAGCAAUAAUGACUUACAAAUUUUGUUUCUGGUUUUCACGGAUACUAUACAGAGAUAAAUCUUAAGUCUAAAUCACUGCUUUACGUUUGCGCGCAUUGCCAUUACAUUUGCGCACAAACCCCAGUUUAUAAAUUACAUGUAAAAUUAAUGCGCACAAAUGUAAUCAAAAGCUGCUCGCAAACAUAACGUAUUUUAAUCCCAAAAUGCAGGCAAAUGUAUAAAUGGUCGCCUUUAAAUUAUAUAUAGAAACUUUAGAUCAAAUAUUUCAUUGGUUUUUGUUUAAUUCUCGUAUUACGAAUUGGUAUAAACAUGUUUAAUAUUAACGCUUAUGAAAUUUGUCAUACGGGGGAGAGAAAGCUCAAGAUUAAAGCAUUUAUAACUUUAAAAAGAAAAAUUAUUCACUAUAAUACAAGAAGUCACAAAAAUCUCUUGUCACAAGUUUUCAUUGUGAAUUUGUUAAAUACCAAAGUUAAGUUUUAGCAACGGCAAAAGCAAUUGCACUAGGAAAAUGAUGUUUUUUAUUUGUUAAUAAACGCUCUAAUUUGAAAUGAAAAUUGUAGAUAUUUGCUUAUUGAUGAGAUUAGCAUGUUUCAUGUAUCAAAAUAAUAUGAGCAAACACAAAUUAAAAGUAAAAAUAUCAAUCUUUUCUUUAACCGAUGAAUAAAGAAUGAAAUACUAUACUUAAACAAUUCAUAAAAUAAAAUUCCUCUAUAGUAAUAUUCAAAUACUAACUAUUGUGAUUUUGGAUCCUGCUAGAAAUUUGAUACACACCAUAAUCCCUUUAGUACAAAUCUGGAUAUCGCGAUUUCUACUAUAGUAUUUUUAAUGAUUUUCAUACGUAUCAAUCAUAAUUUCAAUUUUCACACGUGCUUGUAAAUAUUGGAACUCCAAAUUGUACUGCAAAAGCCAAAAUUGCUCACACAUUCGUGUGAAAAAAAUCAUGUGAAAUUCACCUCAAACGAGCUUAUACAUCUACAUGAAACUCACUUGAAAAUGUUCAUGUAUAUGUAUUUGGCAUUGAUCAUAUUCACAUUAAUCUCACAUGAAAUUUUUCAAAACGUGAGAAAUGUUUCCAAUGAUUUUCACGUGAACUUUACAAAAAUAAAAAUUUGUAUUUUCAUGAUUUUAAUUGAAUUGUUAUUUGAAUUACUUUUUUCACAUGAAAUCCAGGUGAGUUUCACACGAGAUUCACGCGUAACUCAUAUUAAACUUAUUUCACGAGAGCUUCACGUUUACGCUCAUUUGAGGUGAAAUUCACGUGAAACACACGUGGAUUUUCCUACAGUAUUCUAAUUGGUUUUGUAACAUUUAUAUGUAAAAUACGUAUAGUUUGUUUUAACGAGCGUUUGAAGUUGUUAAAAAUAUCGACCCUUUAUUUUCUAUGGGCAAGGUAUCUGCUCCCUUACACUUAAUUAUGCAAUGCACCAUAUUUUACGUAGUAUUAUUUUAUAAUGCAGAUUCAAUCUGAAUGAGCCGGUAUGGACUACGAACACAUGAUGAUGGAGUUCGAGGGAAGAGCACCAUACAAGUUGGCAUGUCUCCAACGUCAACAACAAUACCAUGAGACAUAUGUUGAUAAGUACACUGAUGUUGUUAGGUCAUAAGAGCCAUACAAAAUACAACGUCAACAACAAUACCAUGAGACAUAUGUUGGUGAGAACACUGAUGUUGUUAGGUCAUAAGAGCCAUACAAAUUACAACGUCAAC